UUAUUUUUAGCUCCCUUUUCUUUUCCUCAGGACUGCGGAGGGUCACUUAUGCUUCAUUUCAAGCAAUCUUUGAACCACGGUGGUGGUGGUGAUCAUGAGGUCCUGGAGCACAAGCAAGAAGUCCCUUGCAUGUAAAGUAUGUAGUGCUACUGAAAAACCUGAACAGUGGCAGCAGUAAGACCUGCUUUUCACCUUCCAGUGUUGUUACAGGCAAUUCACAAAAUGUUUGCAAAGCACUUUGGGAUGCUGAGAUAGAAACCAGGAUCUGAGCCGUUAUAAAGAACAGUUAAUUAUAAAAAUGUAAAUUAAAGUAAUUAUAUAUGCAAAUUUUCAUUAAGCUGUUUAAUACAACACUUAGAGUUUCAUUCUUUAUGCCUGCAUGUAAAUUAUGCAAAUUGUUACUACAUCAUUUAUUUCAUUUGCACAUGUACAAUUUUAUUCUACCUACAAAAUGUGCAUGCGUUUAAAAUAAACCUAAUCUCUCACUGGCUUACUGUAAACACUUGUAAAUUUGAAAGGAAGUUGCUAUGUUCUACUCUUCAGAAAAAAGGAAACAAACAAGCAGAAAGAAAAACUUCUGUGGUUUGCAGACUUUGAUCAGUCUGAAAGAGCAUUCCUUUGCCCUCAGCCUUUCUAAGUACCCCGCGUUGCCCUCUGGCCAGCAAUCAGAGCAAACAGAUUCUUCUUGCUUCUGCUUCACUGCAUCUGUUCCAACUCCUGCCAUGCACAGAAAAUCAGUACUCUUGAAAGAAAAUUUUAAAAAACAGAAUUUAAAAGGCUGAACAGGUGUUCAGGUCAAUAGUUUCAUUUUAAAUAUUGAUGUUGAAAAUUUCUUUCUCUUUUCCCCAUAAUAAAAAUUAACCAGUCAUUCACCAGAUUGAACAAUGUUGUUUCUCUGAACAAUGGUUAGAACGUUAAACAAACAUGUGAAGAUCUAUUUCUCUGUGCCUAAGCUUUCAAAAGUUAUUGGGUGGGGUUUUUUUCUUUUUUUUUUUCAAGGCUCAAGUGUUUUGGUUUUUAUUUGCUAAAUAAAUAUAUAAAAAUAUAAGCUGUGUUAUCUAAAGGUGAACUGCAAACUAAUUAACUAUGAAUCAACAGCAGAAAACCUGUGUAGACUUGAAUGUUAAAAAUAGACUUACCAUAUGUUCAUGUUACACUUAAU